GUUUUAUUGUUCUUUGGUUUAUGAGUUUACUUUAAUCCUCUUCCGGUUGAGUAUUAGAGUAAUCACUUGCUAGCGUAAACGUGGUGUUUAGGCUAGGGUACUCAUAGAUAUCCCCUGACUAGCUGGACCGUGGUAGUAGCGAGGAACGUGACAUUUCCAAGUUACCUUUGCAGAUCACAUCUCGUUAGCAGGACGGGUAGGUUUAUAG
rnacentral:lncRNA from 1 species